GACGAACGCUGGCGGCGUGCUUAACACAUGCAAGUCGAACGGAAAGGCCCUGCUUUUGUGGGGUGCUCGAGUGGCGAACGGGUGAGUAAAACGUGAGUAACCUGCCCUUGACUUUGGGAUAAAUUCAGGAAACUGGGGCUAAUACCGGAGAGGAGCUCCUGCUGCAUGGUGGGGGUUGGAGAGUUUCGGCGGUUGGGGAUGGACUCGCGGCUUAUCAGCUUGUUGGUGGGGUAGUGGCUUACCAAGGCUUUGACGGGUAGCCGGCCGGAGGGGGCUACCGGCCGCAUUGGGCCUGAGAUACGGGCCAGACUCCUACGGGAGGCAGCAGGGGCGAAUAUUGGACAAUGGGCGGAAGCCUGAUGCAGCAACGCCGCGUGCGGGAUGACGGCCUUCGGGGUGUAAGCCGCUUUCGCCUGUGACGGAGCGUGAGUGACUGUAAUGGGUAAAGAAGCCCCGGCUACUUACGU
rnacentral:rRNA from 1 species